GCCCGGCUGGCUCAAUGGUAGAGUUCUAGACUUCUAAGUUAAGUUAGAAGUUAAUCUAGGGGUUGUGGGUUCGAGUCCCACGUCGGGUG